UAAGGAAUAUUGGUCAAUGCCCGGAAGGGUGAACCAGCCAUCCCGCGUGAAGGAUGAAGGGGCUCUGCCUUGUAAACUUCUUUUGAAUGGGACGAAAAAGCCUCACUUGUGAGGAACUGACGGUACCAUUAGAAUAAGCACCGGCUAACUCCGUGCCAGCAGCCGCGGUAAUACGGAGGGUGCGAGCGUUGUUCGGAAUUACUGGGCGUAAAGGGCUCGUAGGCGGCCAACUAAGUCAGACGUGAAAUCCCUCGGCUUAACCGGGGAACUGCGUCUGAUACUGGAUGGCUUGAGGUUGGGAGAGGGAUGCGGAAUUCCAGGUGUAGCGGUGAAAUGCGUAGAUAUCUGGAGGAACACCGGUGGCGAAGGCGGCAUCCUGGACCGGCAUUGACGCUGAGGAGCGAAAGCCAGGGGAGCAAACGGGAUUAGAUACCCGCGUAGUCCCUGAGCGGGCUGGCAAGGCGCAU
rnacentral:rRNA from 1 species